UACGUAGGUCCCGAGCGUUGUCCGGAUUUAUUGGGCGUAAAGCGAGCGCAGGUGGUUUAUUAAGUCUGGUGUAAAAGGCAGUGGCUCAACCAUUGUAUGCAUUGGAAACUGGUAGACUUGAGUGCAGGAGAGGAGAGUGGAAUUCCAUGUGUAGCGGUGAAAUGCGUAGAUAUAUGGAGGAACACCGGUGGCGAAAGCGGCUCUCUGGCCUGUAACUGACACUGAGGCUCGAGAGCGUGGGGAGCAAACGGG
rnacentral:rRNA from 1 species